rnacentral:rRNA from 1 species
GCUUAUCACCAUUCCAGAUUGAAUAUACCCGAUCUCGUCUGAUCUCGGAAGUCAAGCAAUCUCGGGCUUGGUUAGUACUUGGAUGGGUGACGCUUGGGAAAUACCAAGUGUAGAUAAGCA